GUACCAUGUCGGUUGGUUUUGCUUGGUAAGAUUUGUGACGAUGCGUCGGACAAACAACAUUGGGAAAAUAUACAGCCUUGAGCCUUGAUGACCAAUGUAUAUCUCUAUUUGAGGAAUUCUCCAAAGAUCCAGAGCCGAUUGUUUCAUAGAGUUGUGAAGUUGCGUUAAACAUACUGGAUUUUGAAUGAUCCGACAAACCAUUCGAGGUACUUGGAAGAUUAAGUCUCUUAUCUGGGUGGUUGUUACAGGUUUAGGAUGUUAAAUGAUUUUGGAUGUACUCUGCGAUGUCGAUGAUGCAGAGAUGUUGGUGAAGCUCAGGUUAACAACUUCAUGUGUAUAUUUUAAUGAAUAAAGUUUUUGUUGUUUAUAUUUUC